rnacentral:rRNA from 1 species
CGUAAAGCGCAUGCAGGCGGCCUGUUAAGUCAGAUGUGAAAGACCCGGGGCGUUAACCUCGGAAUUGCAUUUGAAACUAGGCAGGCUAGAGUCUUGUAGAGGGGGUAGGAAGUUUCUAGGUGUAGCGGUGAAAUAGCGUAGAGAUCUGAAGGAAUACCAGUGGCGAAGGCGGCCCCCUCGGACAAAGACUGACGCUCAGAUGCGAAAGCGUGGGGAGCAAACAGGAUUAGAUACCCUGGUAG